rnacentral:rRNA from 1 species
CCUACGGGAGGCUGCAGUAGGGAAUAUUGCUCAAUGGGGGAAACCCUGAAGCAGCAACGCCGCGUGGAGGAUGAAGGUCUUCGGAUCGUAAACCUCUGUCAGCAGGGAAGAACGGUCACUGUGCUAAUCAGCAGUGAAUUGACGGUACCUGCAAAGGAAGCACCGGCUAACUCCGUGCCAGCAGCCGCGGUAAUACGGAGGGUGCGAGCGUUAAUCGGAAUUACUGGGCGUAAAGCGCUCGUAGGCGGUAUGUCAAGUCAAGGGUGAAAUCCCCGCGCUCAACGUGGGAACUGCCUUUGAAACUGGCAAACUGGAGUGUGUGAGAGGAUAGUGGAAUUCCAGGUGUAGGAGUGAAAUCCGUAGAUAUCUGGAGGAACAUCAGUGGCGAAGGCGACUAUCUGGCACAUAACUGACGCUGAGGAGCGAAAGCGUGGGUAGCAAACAGGAUUAGAUACCCGAGUAGUC